rnacentral:rRNA from 1 species
CUUGUCUGACGGUAGUAGAUGAAUAAGCACCGGCUAACUCCGUGCCAGCAGCCGCGGURAUACGGAGGGUGCAAGCGUUAAUCGGAAUUACURGGCGUAAAGCGCACGCAGGCGGUCUGUCAAGUCGGAUGUGAAAUCCCCGGGCUCAACCUGGGAACUGCAUUCGAAACUGGCAGGCUGGAGUCUUGUAGAGGGGGGUAGAAUUCCAGGUGUAGCGGUGAAAUGCGUAGAGAUCUGGAGGAAUACCGGUGGCGAAGGCGGCCCCCUGGACAAAGACUGACGCUCAGGUGCGAAAGCGUGGGGAGCAAACAGGAUUAGAUACCCUGGUAGUCCACGCUGUAAACGAUGUCGACUUGGAGGUUGUUCCCUUGAGGAGUGGCUUCCGGAGCUAACGCGUUAAGUCGACCGCCUGGGGAGUACGGCCGCAAGGUUAAAACUCMAAUGAAUUGACGGGGGCCCGCACAAGCGGUGGAGCAUGUGGYUUAAUUCGAUGCAACGCGAAGAACCUUACCUACUCUUGACAUCCAGAGAACUUAGCAGA